GCAGUUAUAUCUCAGUUUAUUGGAUUGGAUAAAAUUAUUCUGUCACAGGGUGAGGCCCCUCCUUUCGUUUAUAAAGCUCAAUGUAUGAGGUCCUUCAUUUCACUGGAUGCAUGGGAAUGAUGUAGCUUGGUAAACUUCAUAUUUACUUUUAGAUGAAGUGGAUUCUUACACCAGUAGGUAGCGGUCUGCUUUUGUAUCUCCACCUCAAGAAAUACGUUGGAAUAACAAAAAUGCCAGGCCUGAAAACCCUAAAGUAGAACUAAGCUGUCCAUCAGAAUGUGAGUCACCUUUAGGGAUGACUGUAUUUCCCAAGGACAGUCAAAUUUCAGGAUAUUCUUCCUCUACUUCCAUUGUCCAUU
rnacentral:lncRNA from 1 species